rnacentral:rRNA from 1 species
UGUGACCUACGGGACGCAGCAGUGAGGAAUAUUGGUCAAUGGGCUAAGGCCUGAACCAGCCAAGUCGCGUGAGGGAAGACGGUCCUAUGGAUUGUAAACCUCUUUUGUCGGGGAGCAACGAGGCCACGUGUGGCCGAAGUGAGAGUACCCGAAGAAAAAGCAUCGGCUAACUCCGUGCCAGCAGCCGCGGUAAUACGGAGGAUGCGAGCGUUAUCCGGAUUAAUUGGGUUUAAAGGGUGCGUAGGCGGCACAUUAAGUCAGCGGUAAAAUCGAGGGGCUCAACCCCUUUAAGCGGUUGAAACUGG